CAUUGCAGCACUGAGAUCAUCCUGGCCUCCAUGAUCAUCCAUUGUGAUGUUACUAGGCUGCGGUUGUUGACGGUUCAGUAUUUCUAAUCUUGCGAGCUCUUCGUUGCUUAACAUGAAUAAUGGUCCUUGUGCGUUGCUCCGAGUAUGUCUACUGGUCAUACACCUGGAUUAUUGGCUGCAACAAAGAGAGGAAAGCAAGUUAGAUGUCUUAGACUAAAUAUAGAACUGAAAAAUAAAGGUAAAUAUCUGGUCUCCGUCGCAACGGCGCCAAAACUUGAUACACUAAAACUGAACCUUUCCUACUGUCAAGUUAACAGGGGUAAUCGUAGUAUUUAAGAUUC
rnacentral:lncRNA from 1 species